rnacentral:tRNA from 1 species
UCCUUAGUAGCUCAGUGGUAGAGCAAUCGGCUGUUAACCGUUUUGUCGUAGGUUCGAUUCCUACCUGGGGAG